GAGGCCGACAGCCCUGUUCUAAUGGGCCCAUUGAGAACUGACGUUUCUGUUUCCUCAUGACCUUGGCAUCCACGUGACUUUGGCUUGCCCUGGGAUCUCCAGUGCCACCUUGAUCUCAAGCUGCCCUGAGAUGAGCAGCUCUUCUCUACAAUAGGCUCCUCACCAUGAUGCCUGCCUUGCCACAGAUCCAAACACAGUGCAUCACAUGACCAUGGACUGAA